GAAGAAGAACGGAAAAUGCGAAAGUAGUGUCUGUUUUACAAAUUGAAUAGUCCGAUAGAUUUCAUAGAUUAGGUAUCGAUUUAUACACAGUCAUUACAAACAUAUAAAGAAAACUGCAAUUUGUAAAUGAUUCAAAACAUGAUUCAACUACAUGUUCCACGAAAAUUAGAUUACUGGUGAGUCAUUGAGUAAGAAAUGAAUCUACACUUUGUCUAUACGCGUUAGCACUGGUAGAAACGGCCUUGACAUUUGGCUCACUGCCAGGCGUUUUACGCUGUCAAGUGUUGUGCGUGAGUCAACCAUUUUCGAGGAUUCCUUCGCUUUCCCGGAGGGAAAGAAGAAAACGAACAGGAAGAGGAAAAUGAAUCCCCAGGAGGACACCAAGUCCAGACGAACAUUUGGCACAAACUCAUCUGGUUCGGCAGUGUUUGGAUUGGUAGUUGGCUCGUCCAUGGUAUCGCCUGUGCGUAUUAGGGCCCCUGGAGAUCUUUGCCUGUUGCCACCUUUCAUGCUUAUACUGCUGCCACC